UACGGAGGGGGCUAGCGUUUUUCGGAAUUACUGGGCGUAAAGCGCACGUAGGCGGAUUGUUAAGUCGGGGGUGAAAUCCCGGGGCUCAACCCCGGAACGGCCCUCGAUACUGACAGUCUCGAGGACGGUAGAGGCUAGUGGAAUGGCGAGUGUAGAGGUGAAAUUCGUAGAUAUUCGCCGGAACACCAGUGGCGAAGGCGACUGGCUGGACCGUUACUGACGCUGAGGUGCGAAAGCGUGGGGAGCAAACAGG
rnacentral:rRNA from 1 species